UUUAUGGAGAGUUUGAUCCUGGCUCAGGAUGAACGCUGGCGGCGUGCCUAAUACAUGCAAGUCGAGCGAACGGACGAGAAGCUUGCUUCUCUGAUGUUAGCGGCGGACGGGUGAGUAACACGUGGAUAACCUACCUAUAAGACUGGGAUAACUUCGGGAAACCGGAGCUAAUACCGGAUAAUAUUUUGAACCGCAUGGUUCAAAAGUGAAAGACGGUCUUACUGUCACUUAUAGAUGGAUCCGCGCUGCAUUAGCUAGUUGGUAAGGUAACGGCUUACCAAGGCAACGAUGCAUAGCCGACCUGAGAGGGUGAUCGGCCACACUGGAACUGAGACACGGUCCAGACUCCUACGGGAGGCAGCAGUAGGGAAUCUUCCGCAAUGGGCGAAAGCCUGACGGAGCAACGCCGCGUGAGUGAUGAAGGUCUUCGGAUCGUAAAACUCUGUUAUUAGGGAAGAACAUAUGUAAGUAACUGUGCACAUCUUGACGGUACCUAAUCAGAAAGCCACGGCUAACUACGUGCCAGCAGCCGCGGUAAUACGUAGGUGGCAAGCGUUAUCCGGAAUUAUUGGGCGUAAAGCGCGCGUAGGCGGUUUUUUAAGUCUGAUGUGAAAGCCCACGGCUCAACCGUGGAGGGUCAUUGGAAACUGGAAAACUUGAGUGCAGAAGAGGAAAGUGGAAUUCCAUGUGUAGCGGUGAAAUGCGCAGAGAUAUGGAGGAACACCAGUGGCGAAGGCGACUUUCUGGUCUGUAACUGACGCUGAUGUGCGAAAGCGUGGGGAUCAAACAGGAUUAGAUACCCUGGUAGUCCACGCCGUAAACGAUGAGUGCUAAGUGUUAGGGGGUUUCCGCCCCUUAGUGCUGCAGCUAACGCAUUAAGCACUCCGCCUGGGGAGUACGACCGCAAGGUUGAAACUCAAAGGAAUUGACGGGGACCCGCACAAGCGGUGGAGCAUGUGGUUUAAUUCGAAGCAACGCGAAGAACCUUACCAAAUCUUGACAUCCUUUGACAACUCUAGAGAUAGAGCUUUCCCCUUCGGGGGACAAAGUGACAGGUGGUGCAUGGUUGUCGUCAGCUCGUGUCGUGAGAUGUUGGGUUAAGUCCCGCAACGAGCGCAACCCUUAAGCUUAGUUGCCAUCAUUAAGUUGGGCACUCUAAGUUGACUGCCGGUGACAAACCGGAGGAAGGUGGGGAUGACGUCAAAUCAUCAUGCCCCUUAUGAUUUGGGCUACACACGUGCUACAAUGGACAAUACAAAGGGCAGCGAAACCGCGAGGUCAAGCAAAUCCCAUAAAGUUGUUCUCAGUUCGGAUUGUAGUCUGCAACUCGACUACAUGAAGCUGGAAUCGCUAGUAAUCGUAGAUCAGCAUGCUACGGUGAAUACGUUCCCGGGUCUUGUACACACCGCCCGUCACACCACGAGAGUUUGUAACACCCGAAGCCGGUGGAGUAACCUUUUAGGAGCUAGCCGUCGAAGGUGGGACAAAUGAUUGGGGUGAAGUCGUAACAAGGUAGCCGUAUCGGAAGGUGCGGCUGGAUCACCUCCUUU
rnacentral:rRNA from 1 species